UACGGGAGGCAGCAGUGGGGAAUAUUGCACAAUGGGGGAAACCCUGAUGCAGCGACGCCGCGUGGAGGAAGAAGGUCUUCGGAUUGUAAACUCCUGUUGUUGAGGAAGAUAAUGACGGUACUCAACAAGGAAGUGACGGCUAACUACGUGCCAGCAGCCGCGGUAAAACGUAGGUCACAAGCGUUGUCCGGAAUUACUGGGUGUAAAGGGAGCGCAGGCGGGCGAUCAAGUUGGAAGUGAAAUCCAUGGGCUCAACCCAUGAACUGCUUUCAAAACUGAUUGUCUUGAGUAGUGCAGAGGUAGGCGGAAUUCCCGGUGUAGCGGUGGAAUGCGUAGAUAUCGGGAGGAACACCAGUGGCGAAGGCGGCCUACUGGGCACCAACUGACGCUGAGGCUCGAAAGUGUGGGUAGCAAACAGGAUUAGAUACCCUGGUAGUCCACACCGUAAACGAUGAUCACCAGGUGUUGGAGGAUUGACCCCUUCAGUGCCGCAGUUAACACAAUAAGUAAUCCACCUGGGGAGUACGACCGCAAGGUUGCAACUCAAAGGAAUUGACGG
rnacentral:rRNA from 1 species